UACGUAGGCAGCAAGCGUUUGUUCGGAGUUACUGGGCGUAAAGGGUGUGUAGGCGGUUGGAUAAGUGUGGUGUGAAAUCUCCCGGCUCAACUGGGAGGGUGCGCUACAAACUGUCUGACUAGAGUGUGGGAUGGGUAAGUGGAAUUCCUGGUGUAGCGGUGAAAUGCGCAGAUAUCAGGAGGAACACCGAUGGCGAAGGCAGGUCUCUGGGCAUUAACUGACGCUGAGGAGCGAAAGCAUGGGGAGCGAACAGG
rnacentral:rRNA from 1 species